UCCCGGCGGGGACAGUAAGCAAUACUGUUAGCGGCGGACGGGUGAGGAAUACAUAGGAAUUUGCCUCAGAGCGGGGGAUAGCCCAGGGAAACUUGGAGUAAUACCGCAUGAUGUCGAAAGACCAAAGCUGGGGACCGCAAGGCCUAGCACUCUGAGAGAAGCCUAUGUCUGAUUAGCUAGUUGGUAGGGUAAUGGCCUACCAAGGCGACGAUCAGUAACUGGUCUGAGAGGACGAUCAGUCACACUGGAACUGAGACACGGUCCAGACUCCUACGGGAGGCAGCAGUGGGGAAUAUUGGACAAUGGGCGCAAGCCUGAUCCAGCAAUGCCGCGUGUGUGAAGAAGGCCUUCGGGUUGUAAAGCACUUUAAGCAGGGAAGAAAAAAUUCAAGCUAAUAUCUUGAGUCUUGACGGUACCUGAAGAAUAAGCACCGGCUAACUCUGUGCCAGCAGCCGCGGUAAUACAGAGGGUGCGAGCGUUAAUCGGAUUUACUGGGCGUAAAGCGUGUGUAGGUGGUUGUUCAAGUCGGUUGUGAAAUCCCCGGGCUCAACCUGGGAACUGCUUCCGAGACUGAACGACUAGAGUACGGUAGAGGGCGGUGGAAUUUCCGGUGUAGCGGUGAAAUGCGUAGAUAUCGGAAGGAACACCAAUGGCGAAGGCAGCCGCCUGGGCCUGUACUGACACUGAGACACGAAAGCGUGGGGAUCAAACAGGGUUAGAUACCCUGGUAGUCCACGCCGUAAACGAUGAGAACUUGACGUCGGUUUGCUCUGCAAGUCGGUGUCGUAGCUAACGCGAUAAGUUCUCCGCCUGGGGAGUACGGCCGCAAGGUUGAAACUCAAAGGAAUUGACGGGGGCCCGCACAAGCGGUGGAGUAUGUGGUUUAAUUCGAUGCAACGCGAAGAACCUUACCUGGGCUUGAC
rnacentral:rRNA from 1 species